rnacentral:rRNA from 1 species
GACGAACGCUGGCGGCAUGCCUAACACAUGCAAGUCGAACGAGACCUUCGGGUCUAGUGGCGCACGGGUGCGUAACGCGUGGGAAUCUGCCCUUGGGUUCGGAAUAACAGUGAGAAAUUACUGCUAAUACCGGAUGAUGACGAAAGUCCAAAGAUUUAUCGCCCAAGGAUGAGCCCGCGUAGGAUUAGCUAGUUGGUAAG